GGAGGAUCAGCGCAGACUGAUGGAUUUUACCCGGAUACCGAGGAUCAUCUUACACCGGAUAGAUCUCCCACAAUGUUGUGUGUGUAAAGAGGAGGAGGUUCUCAAUGAAACAGAACCACAGAGGAACCAACUCAUCUCUCAUGGCUCUCCAGAAGCUGAGAACCGGGAUCAGGAAGGAAACAAUUCUGAAAACCCAGGAAAAAAGAGAAAGGAAGAACAAAAACAAAAGGAGAAAUAUGAGAAAACCAAAGAGCAGAAAGUAAGAACUGACACUUCAAAACAAAAAAAGCACAAGAAAGCUCACGGAAGGCAAAAAUUACAUUCUUAUAAAAUUUGUGAUGAAACCUUUUCUGAAAACAGUAACUUGAUGAGACACAUAAUAACUCACACAGGAGUAAAACCUUUCACUUGUUCAGCCUGUGGGAAAAGUUUCAGACAAAAGGUUGGUUUAAUUUAUCACAUGAGAAUUCACACAGGUGAGAAGCCUUUCUCAUGUGGGACCUGUGGAAAAAGUUUCUCUCGAAAAGAUACUUUAUAUGAUCAUAUGAAAAUUCACACAGGUGAGAAGCCUUUCUCCUGUGGGAAUUGUGGAAAAAGUUACGCUCAUAGAGGGACUUUAACUAUACACAU